rnacentral:lncRNA from 1 species
GCCCGGACUCCUACGGGAGCCGGGCCUCGUCUCCAGCUCCGACUGCAAGCGGACUCCGUCCGGACUCCUACGGGAGUCGGAACUCGUCUCCAGCUCCGACUGCAAGCAGACUCCGCCCGGACUCCUACGGGAGCCGGGCCUCGUCUCCAGCUCCGACUACAAGAAGACCCCGCCCGGACUCCUACGGGAGCCGGGCUCCGUCCCCAACUCUGACUACA